GAUCCUGGCUCAGGAUGAACGCUAGCUACAGGCUUAACACAUGCAAGUCGAGGGGCAGCAUGGACCCAGCUUUGCUGGGUUUGAUGGCGACCGGCGCACGGGUGAGUAACGCGUAUCCAACCUGCCCUUUACUCCGGGAUAGUCUCCUGAAAGGGAGUUUAAUACCGGAUGUGUUUGUCUUUCCGCAUGGGAGCGACAAAUAAAGAUUAAUUGGUAAAGGAUGGGGAUGCGUCCCAUUAGCUUGUUGCGGGG
rnacentral:rRNA from 1 species